ACAGCUUUAGAAUAAAAGUGUAUCAGUAGGAAAUCAAAACUCAGCUUAGUGGUUAGAUACGUGGCUUUUAACUAGAGAUAAUGACCCAGUAAUUUAGCAGAUGCUGGCAAAUAUUUAUUAUCCUAGCUCUACAAUUCAUCUUGGCUAUAACGUGAUUAACCGAGCUAGUAUGCUUAUAUAGCAGAGCUUCAAAUUCUUAAGGUCAGUUCUCUCUUAAGUAAAACACAAUUAGUGAUAUACAACUCUGAAAUUUCUCCGAGCUGGAUUAAGCAAAUAAGAGUUAGAAGAAUACCCAAAUUUUUGGGAUUAUUGAGGAAGAAGAGCAGAAGCAAAAUACAACGGAAGCUAACGUCACAGUGAAGUUGAAAAUUCAAAGGUAAUUCUCUCUAUAUCGUGUAUAUACAGAUGCAUGUAUAUGAAAGGAGUGUGUUGAUUGAUGGUGAAUUUUUGGUUGAUGAAAGUCUUUAUGAGUUAUAUGUCUGUGAUGUUGAGUUAGUUGGUCGUAAAGUAAAUGGGUAAGUUUAAUUUUUUUUUUUUAGCAAUCGAUCAUGAAUGGGUUAUUGAAACUCACUGUUUGCUAAUAUCAAACUUUUAGAUUAAAGGAAGGCUAGUAUGUAUUUGUUUAUUUUGUUUAUGAUAAAUAUAUUUGGCUAAAUUGUGAAACCAACUGCUAUGAAAAUAGUGUUUUAGAACAGUAAGUAUAAGAUGUUUGUUAGAAGGUUUUAAUGAACUGAUUUGCUCAACAAUUGCUUAUUUAUCAGAGUUUAAGUUUGGGUUAUAUAUAUAUAUGCCAUGUAUCAGGGUAAGUAACUUUUAUGCCUUGUUUAAUGGAAGGAAAACUAUUUUUUUUUUUUUNNNNNNNNNNNNNNNNNNNNNNNNNNNNNNNNNNNNNNNNNNNNNNNNNNNNNNNNNNNNNNNNNNNNNNNNNNNNNNNNNNNNNNNNNNNNNNNNNNNNGGAUUUUGAUAUGUCAAUUUGUGUUGGCAAACUGUUUUGAGCAGUUUAAAAUGUUGAAGCUUGUAUGUUUUGUUAUUUGAUUGCUAUCAGACCUAAAUCUACUGACACUUGGUAAUUAUGUAGCAAGCAAAAGAAGGGCGCUGGGGUGAUUUGAGUUGGCCGGGGCUGCUGCAGGCAGCAGCAGCUAGCGCCCAGCGCUGUGCUGCGCUAUGCUGCAGAGCCAGUCUGGCAGUUUGUCACUAAUUUGGUUUGCAUGUUAUAUGUAAUGGCUGUCAUGUGCAGGUUAUUUUAAGAAGUGGGUGCUCUAUUUUAUUUUUCUAGUAAAGGGUGAAAAUAACUUUAUCAUUAGAAGGCCAAAAAUGACAAGAACUAAGAACAGAGCUGCUGCCCAUGGCAGCAGCAGUGGCUGAGUAUAGCCUUGGGUGGGAAGUCCUUUAUUGGUGCCGGCCAGCUUGUGUCUCUUUGUAAUUGAUAUAUAUGUAUCAGCUAUGCAAUCCUCCAAAAACAUGUGCUAACAGAUUAGAAUAAAAUGGGGAAAAAUGAAACUAGGUAAGACAUGGAAUCAGCAAAGUAGAAGGCUGAUGCCCACUGGCAGUAGCAGUUAGUCCAUCCGGCAACAAGAGGUUAAUAGCAGAUGGGAAAUCUCAUUUAAUUUCCAUGUAUAGGUUAAAAGCUUAAAAACAAGAAUGAGAUGAGAUUUAUGUAAGCAAGCAAGCUAAUUUGGAGGUUUAGCUGCUGCCCUGAAACAGCAGCGUGUACUAAUACAACAACAAGUACAAGCCUUAGAUUGCUAACAGUAGAAAAAAAAGAAGAAGCCAGUUAGUUUUGUUUUGUAACUCACGCAAUGCGCGGUGUAUAAUAUUAGAUAAUUGUUAUGGCAGUUUUGGAACAACUCGACUUGUAUUGAAACCACUGCACAUUUGCAGAAAUAGUUAUUAACUAACCACUAAUGCAAUGCUAAGCUAUAAAGUCAGAUAUAGUUGACUAAUAACAUGAAAAAUAAAAUGUUAAGAAAUUGUUAAUGCAUGUAAGUGAGCUUCUCGACCCAUUUAGCUAAAUUAUAAUAAAGAACAAAUAUAUAUAUAUAUAUAUAAAAGAAGUAAAGGAGAUAUGAACUAAAUUAUGAGAGAUUCAUAAACAGAAAUUAUGUUAGACCUUAUAAAAGAAAAAAAAGGCUAUUAUAAGAACAUGAGUGAGAUAUUUGAAAAAUGUAUCUUAAGUAUGAAGUUAUCAA
rnacentral:lncRNA from 1 species